rnacentral:rRNA from 1 species
GAAAAUAAAAGGAGUGGAGGGAGAGGGAGGCACGGUUCGCCAGUCGCCGCAGGGAGAAGGAGGGCUCGCUGUGCCGCUGUGCGAGACGGGCCAGGCGGCGUUCAACCUGAGGAGGCGGCGGCGUUGCGGGUGGAGAGAGGCUGCGUGGCGUAGUCUAACUCCCGGUCGGCUCGAGAGUCGGUACAGACCUGCACUCCAAGCACUCAUGUGAUUGGAGUCGCUGGGAUUUCUAUCUUUCAUACCCUUCCCCUUCCUGUUCUAGCUGCUACUCCUACAGUGGAAGGUCGCGUACCAUCGUUUCUACGUCCUACAACGACCACUCGCCCCUCCGAUGGAAGUACCCGCUCCUCGUAACCUGUCACUACUAAACGAAAUGGAAUUUCUCGUUUACCUCCGACUCCUUCUACGUCUCGCAGAGGAGGCAGCAUGUCUCUUCGCCCGUAAACGACGGAAAUUCUAUAGGAGAGAACGUACUAUGUAAUAUCGUAGAGGGUGUGGAAAAUGUUCUAUUAGAAAUCAUAUUAGGUUCGCAAGAACGAUACGUACGUACGAUAAAAGGUGUAGAUAAUAAACUAAAAGAACAGUAACCAGUACGUCAACGUCGUGUUAUAAGUGUACGGAUCCCCAACAAAGCGUAGAAUAGCGUCGAACGUCGCAAGGUGUAAAGCUAUUGAGACAGUCAAACAAACAAACUAAAGAAAUUGAGACCGUAAUGGUUCGUCGUCAAGAUCGACUAAGACGUGGAGGAUAAGGGCGCCGAGAAGCGCAGCUCGGAUCUGGGUUUUCACUAUAUUCCGUUGCACUAGAGAACUUCUUCUAACAGCUCUAGUUUGGUUUCGCUCGUUUUCAGUCGUCGGGAGCUGUUUGUCGUCUCCCGCUAUCUGGAUUCGUCCUUGUUCUUCUAAGACACUCCUUUUACAGAUGCGGACUUCCACUUUUACUUGCCAGAGUUCCCCGUCAGUCGAAACACGUUGGAGCCAGUUUUGGUCCACUAGGUCGUCUCCGGUUCAGCGUCUUACGUCGACAUUCGAAUGAACCAAAUCGCAUACUCUCAAGCCUGCUCCUUAUCAGCCACCGCACCUCUUUAACAACAUCUGAGGCAGAACUUCAAAAAGACAAGAGAACGAUCUGACACAACAUAGUAGUCUUCCUAUUUCUUGAAUACGGCAGUGACGACCUUUAGUUCGGACUCAAUGAAUAACCCAUCUGA